CUUGGAGGCAGCCCCUCAGGCACAUGCCGACCUCCAGAUGCCCGACGCCCCACUGAGAUCUUGACUCCAUCUGUGGGCGAGAUGCUGAGCCAGCCCGCCAGCUCAGCGCUGCCAAGAUUGCAGAUCCUCGGGAGCCAGGUGCUGCAUGAACUCACAAGUGCGCAGGCGCUCGCGCACACUCCCACUGAGAACAACAGAGAAAGAGACCCCCUCAGCCCUUCCACGAUGUGAGGACUCUGAGAAGAGCACCAGCUACAAAGCAGGAAGUCUGAAGUAGAAUCCUAACUUGCUGUUUUUGAGACAGGGUCUCUCACUGAGCCUGGAGCUCACCAGUCCAGCAUGCAUUCAUUCCCUCUCUGCUCUCAACUACGGAGGUGACCAGCUGCUUCAAGUUCCUGCUGCCUUGACUUCUCGCUGCAGUGAAUAAGGCAGCGAAACCCUGGACCGGCAGCAGACACUUCUUCCUUGAAGUUGCUUCCGGCGGGGCAUCUCCUCACUGCCACAGGAGAGAAACCAGGACAGCUGGGUGUCUGGCCACAGAAGGGAUAACAUGCACCUGUCUCAGCUCUGCCAGCCUACAGGGAAAAGGAAUAUGAUGGAAGACAGGAGCUGAUCUUCACCAACUGUCCAGUCUCCAGGGACACCAGCAAGACUUUGCUUGGAGAAGAAGUUCUGCGAGAGGAAGAUGGAGAUGCUAAGUCUAUGUCUUUGUCCUCUGUGUGGCUUGCCAGACCUGGGCAGUCCCGAGAAGCAGAAAGGCUUGCCAGCAUGGACGGUGUUGACUAUAUAAACUGAACACUGUGAAGAGUUCACACUGUUGAUCAGACUCUUGGGCACUGGACAAAAACCUCAAAACUCUGCCUGUCCUGCACUGGCUGCAAACAGCACACACUAACAUAGCUGAUUUUGGAAAGACAUACCCUGGUGCCAUUUUCACUAAAUAAGUCAGUUUCCAUAUGAGUGAGCGUAUGUGUCUGUAUGUGAAUGUCAUGCGUGUUUGUAGGUAUGUAUAUGUACAUAUCUAUGUUGUCUGUGAACAUGUGGAUGUGUCCACACCUUCAGUAGCACCUGUACUUUGCUGGAGUCAGAUGUAGACUUAGGAAUCCAUUUCUGAGGCAGGAGAAAAGCAGAAAAGUUAAUACAUGGGAAAGGAAAGAAGCCCUUCUUCCAGGGUCUCCUUGAAGUCUUCCGUCUGCCAAGAGUUGAAAACUUCAAUACAACUAAUAACACGUGUUGGUAUAAAGUUGCCUCCAUAGAGUUAAUAUUCCUUUUAUGUAGAGAUGUUUCAAAUAAAAACAUUAAAAUACCAACAGACCACUCAAGCUUAAGGAGUAAGAGUACAUGACCUUCAAGUAUGACCUUCUCCUGUCCUGGAUAUUAACCUACAAUUUCUGAAAAUCUAUCAACAAGACUGAAAACUUUGUCUACAGUAAAAAUGUCUUAGCUCCUUUGUGCAAACCUCAUGACCUGUGGUUUUCCCUGAUCAGCCUGGAAUCCUGUCCAGUGUGUCUUAGCAGCUACUCUGUGAUCCCACUGAAAAAAAAAAAAAAAAAAAACCGAGGAGUGUGGAGAGUCACUUAGAAACCCUGUCAACAGUGUAAAUUCAAAAGCGGCCAAAAAAACGAGAAGAAGCUGGCCUGAGCAGCCCACAAGUGGGUGUCCUUUCGCUAGCCCUGCUUUGUCCCUGAGAUCUCAGAGGGCACCUCGUAGAAGUGACCAGCCAUGCCUGAUUGUUGAUGUCUUAUCUAGUUCCUUCCCUAAACUGUUGAGCUCCUGGCGCUGAAUAACCGCUGGGUAGCUGAGACAAUAGGAUUAACUUCCUAUAUUCUUUCGGGUACUUUCACUAAUCUGUUAAACUCAGAGAACCCAUUACUCGCAAAUGACCUAAACCAGGCCUGCUGGGUUUAGCCAAAGCUCUUUUGCUGUAGGUAAUCUGAGCAUGAAGACCUGGGAAACUGAAAGAACUCCCCUUUAAAGUCUAUAAGCAUAAGGAAGCGCAUUUGUUCUUCCAGUUGCUCUAAGAUCUCCUAUCCCAGCUUCCCCCAUAGCAUCAAUUAAGGGGACAUAUGCCUGAAAUCUCACUCAGCAUAUCUCUCUACCAAACCUGGAGAGAGUCCUUAUUAUUCAAAACAUUCUAUGGACCACAUUCAAACCUGUGUUUAAAAUUUCUUCUUAAUAAACUGAAACGUGGGGGCUGGAGGGAUGGCUCAGCAGUUAAGAGCACUGGCACUUCUUCCAGAGAACUCAGGUUCAAUUCCCAGCACCCACAUGGCAGCUCAAAACUGUCUGUAACUCCAGUUCCAGAGGAUCUAACACCUUCACACAGACACACGUUCAGGCAAAACACCAAUGCACAUGAAAUAAAAAUAACUUGAUAGGCCAGAGUAUGUUUGUAAGGGGGGAGGAAAACCCCUUUUCUGAGGAGAAGGGGAGGGAGGAAAUGGGGAAAAGGGCAGGAGGGUGGGACCAGGAGGAGAGAGGGAGGAGUCUGUGAUCAGGAUGUAAAAUAAAUAAAUGAGUAUAUUUUUUAAAAUAUGUACACUAUUAAAAAUAAAAAACUGAAACUCUGC